AGCGCAGACGGUUAUUUAAGCAAGAUGUGAAAGCCCCGGGCUCAACCUGGGAACUGCGUUUUGAACUGGGUAACUAGAGUGUGUCAGAGGGGGUAGAAUUCCACGUGUAGCAGUGAAAUGCGUAGAGAUGUGGAGGAAUACCGAUGGCGAAGGCGGCUUGCUGGGCCGUAACUGACGCUGAGGCGCGAAAGCCAGGGGAGCGAACG
rnacentral:rRNA from 1 species